CCUACGGGAGGCAGCAGUAGGGAAUCUUCCACAAUGGGCGAAAGCCUGAUGGAGCAACGCCGCGUGGGUGAAGAAGGUCUUCGGAUCGUAAAACCCUGUUGUUAGAGAAGAAAGUGCGUGAGAGUAACUGUUCACGUUUCGACGGUAUCUAACCAGAAAGCCACGGCUAACUACGUGCCAGCAGCCGCGGUAAUACGUAGGUGGCAAGCGUUAUCCGGAUUUAUUGGGCGUAAAGGGAACGCAGGUGGUCUUUUAAGUCUGAUGUGAAAGCCUUCGGCUUAACCGGAGUAGUGCAUUGGAAACUGGGAGACUUGAGUGCAGAAGAGGAGAGUGGAACUCCAUGUGUAGCGGUGAAAUGCGGAGAUAUAUGGAAGAACACCAGUGGCGAAAGCGGCUCUCUGGACUGUAACUGACGCUGAGGUUCGAAAGCGUGGGUAGCAAACAGGAUUAGAUACCCUAGUAGUC
rnacentral:rRNA from 1 species